rnacentral:rRNA from 1 species
UACAGAGGUCUCAAGCGUUGUUCGGAUUCAUUGGGCGUAAAGGGUGCGUAGGCGGCGCGGUAAGUCGGGUGUGAAAUCCUCGGAGCUUAACUCCGAAACUGCAUUCGAUACUGCCGUGCUUGAGGACUGGAGAGGAGACUGGAAUUUACGGUGUAGCGGUGAAAUGCGUAGAUAUCGUAAGGAAGACCAGUGGCGAAGGCGGGUCUCUGGACAGUUCCUGACGCUGAGGCACGAAGGCAGGGGGAGCAAAACGGG